ACUUCGUGCCAGCAGCCGCGGUAAUACGGAGGGUGCAAGCGUUAUCCGGAUUUAUUGGGUUUAAAGGGUCCGUAGGCGGACUCGUAAGUCAGUGGUGAAAUCUCAUAGCUUAACUAUGAAACUGCCAUUGAUACUGCGGGUCUUGAGUAAAGUAGAAGUGGCUGGAAUAAGUAGUGUAGCGGUGAAAUGCAUAGAUAUUACUUAGAACACCA
rnacentral:rRNA from 1 species